rnacentral:rRNA from 1 species
AUUGAACGCUGGCGGCAGGCUUAACACAUGCAAGUCGAGCGGAUGAAGGUAGCUUGCUACCGGAUUCAGCGGCGGACGGGUGAGUAAUGCUUAGGAAUCUGCCUAUUAGUGGGGGACAACGUUCCGAAAGGAGCGCUAAUACCGCAUACGUCCUACGGGAGAAAGCAGGGGACCUUCGGGCCUUGCGCUAAUAGAUGAGCCUAAGUCGGAUUAGCUAGUUGGUAGGGUAAAGGCCUACCAAGGCGACGAUCUGUAGCGGGUCUGAGAGGAUGAUCCGCCACACUGGGACUGAGACACGGCCCAGACUCCUACGGGAGGCAGCAGUGGGGAAUAUUGGACAAUGGGGGGAACCCUGAUCCAGCCAUGCCGCGUGUGUGAAGAAGGCCUUUUGGUUGUAAAGCACUUUAAGCGAGGAGGAGGCUACCUGGAUUAAUACUUUAGGAUAGUGGACGUUACUCGCAGAAUAAGC